rnacentral:lncRNA from 1 species
UUGCAUUGCAAUUGACAAGGGCAUCUCAAAUUUAGUGCUCCGAUAGGACAAAUGUCUAAACCGGUGUGGGGACUAUGUGGAAAAACAGUGUAAGGUACAUAGAAUAGUACGUAUAUUUGUAAUUACCUGUAUGUACUACUAUCUUAUUUUGGCUA